rnacentral:misc_RNA from 1 species
CCUCACUUUCGAUCAAUCGCUGCUCCACGAGCUAACGUUGGAUGCAAAAAUCGGGUUCCUGUGUUGCAUACCUACCGCGACGGAAAUUCGUCCAUYUCGUUGUCCCUUUCAUCAGAAGGAUCCAUUCGGAUGCUUUGGGUGGACUAGAUAGUGGGGCUUGUGUUCCGCGAACGUCUCACGMGAUUUGUUCGGAUGGAGCACGGGUGCUCACUCGUUCUCUCGGAUGCGGAACGUUCCUCAUGGGYACGUGGGUCAAUGGCCCUCGCUCCCAAAUCUUUAAGCGUUUAUCGCUUUACUGGAAUGACGCUCUUGCCUUGUCUUUGACCCCGUGGGAGCUCCCGAGCUCCGUGACGGAUCAAUGCUCGGCGGACGUCGUGAAGGAAUGCUACCUGGUUG